CCUACGGGUGGCAGCAGUGAGGAAUAUUGGUCAAUGGACGCAAGUCUGAACCAGCCAUGCCGCGUGCAGGAAGACGGCUCUAUGAGUUGUAAACUGCUUUUGUACGAGGGUAAACGCCGAUACGCGUAUCUGUCUGCACGUAUCGUACGAAUAAGGAUCGGCUAACUCCGUGCCAGCAGCCGCGGUAAUACGGAGGAUUCAAGCGUUAUCCGGAUUUAUUGGGCGUAAAGAGUUCGUAGGUGGCACGGUAAGUCUGGUGUUAAAGGCGGAAGCUCAACUUCCGUAGGGCACUGGAUACUGGGGAGCUGGAAUGCGGUAGAGGUAAAGGGAAUUCCUGGUGUAGCGGUGAAAUGCGUAGAUAUCAGGAGGAACAUCGGUGGCGUAAGCGCUUUACUGGGCCGUAAUUGACACUGAGGAACGAAAGCCGGGGUAGCAAAUGGGAUUAGAUACCCUAGUAGUC
rnacentral:rRNA from 1 species